ACGAACGCUGGCGGCGUGCUUAACACAUGCAAGUCGAACGGAAAGGCCCUGCUUGCAGGGUGCUCGAGUGGCGAACGGGUGAGUAACACGUGGGUGAUCUGCCCCUUAUUUUGGGAUAAGCCUGGGAAACUGGGUCUAAUACUGGAUAGGACCAUGCUGUAGGUGGUGUGGUGGAAAGAUUAGUUUCGGUAAGGGAUGAGCUCGCGGCCUAUCAGCUUGUUGGUGGGGUAAUGGCCUACCAAGGCGUCGACGGGUAGCCGGCCUGAGAGGGUGGACGGCCACAUUGGGACUGAGGUACGGCCCAGACUCCUACGGGAGGCAGCAGUGGGGAAUAUUGCACAAUGGGCGCAAGCCUGAUGCAGCGACGCCGCGUGGGGGAUGACGGCCUUCGGGUUGUAAACUCCUUUCAGCCAUGACGAAGCCCUUGUGGUGACGGUAGUGGUAGAAGAAGCACCGGCUAACUACGUG
rnacentral:rRNA from 1 species